GACGAACGCUGGCGGCGUGCUUAACACAUGCAAGUCGAACGGAAAGGCCCUGCUUUUGUGGGGUGCUCGAGUGGCGAACGGGUGAGUAACACGUGAGUAACCUGCCCUUGACUUUGGGAUAACUUAAGGAAACUGGGGCUAAUACCGGAUAGGAGCUCCUGCUGCAUGGUGGGGGUUGGAAAGUUUCGGAGGUUGGGGAUGGACUCGCGGCUUAUCAGCUUGUUGGUGGGGUAGUGGCUUACCAAGGCUUUGACGGGUAGACGGACUGCGAGGGUGACCGGCCACAUUGGGACUGAGGUGCCGCCCAUACUGCUACGGGAGGCAGCAGUGGUGAAUAUUGCACAAUGGGCGGAAGCCUUAUGCAGCAACUCCGCGUGCGGGAUGACGGCCUUCGGGUUGUAAACCGCUUUCGCCUGUGACGAAGCGUGAGUGACGGUAAUGGGUAAAGAAGCACCGGCUAACUACGUG
rnacentral:rRNA from 1 species